rnacentral:misc_RNA from 1 species
UCUCAAUGAAUUGCUUUUUUUUUUUCUUCCUUUUUUUUAACAAAGAGAACAUUGCUAUUCAGGUUGUGCUAAUAUCAUACAACACAAAAAUUGUAGAAGCACAUUGCAUGACAAUGCAUAUGAUGAAUUUGCAAAAGAAUACGCAAAAAUAAACUAGUAUUUCUAUGAUAAUUAUACAUUUUCAAAAAAAUGAAGGAAACAAAAGAAAAAAAUAUAUAUAAGCCUACCUUUAUGUAACACAAAAAAAAAUGCUUUUUAAAAGCAAUAAUGUAGGGUAGGUAUGCAGCCACAUCAUUAUAUUAAGCACAUACAAAAGUGCUAUGCAUUCUUUUUGAGAUAGGAAACUGUAAGAUAAAUGAGAAUAACAAUGGAGCUUUUUCCCGAUAUAUUUUGGAAGCAAAUGUAUCAUUCAACUGCAGUCAUUAAAUACUGUAAUGAACCGAUUCUGCAGGUUUUCUUGUAACAAAAGGCCAUAAGGAAUAGGAGUUGAUACGUUGAGUUAUGGCUCAUAUUUGUUAGAGGGGAAUUUAUUAUUCACAAAAGGCCCCUGCCAAGGGGUAGUCUUUGGCCUUUUUAAUUAUUGGUGUGAUUAUGUAAAUCCUAUUUGUAUUAGAAAUCCU